rnacentral:rRNA from 1 species
GAUGAACGCUGGCGGCGUGCCUAAUACAUGCAAGUCGAGCGAACAGACGAGGAGCUUGCUCCUCUGACGUUAGCGGCGGACGGGUGAGUAACACGUGGAUAACCUACCUAUAAGACUGGGAUAACUUCGGGAAACCGGAGCUAAUACCGGAUACUAUAUUGAACCGCAUGGUUCAAUAGUGAAAGACGGUUUUGCUGUCACUUAUAGAUGGAUCCGCGCCGCAUUAGCUAGUUGGUAAGGUAACGGCUUACCAAGGCAACGAUGCGUAGCCGACCUGAGAGGGUGAUCGGCCACACUGGAACUGAGACACGGUCCAGACUACUACGGGAGGCAGCAGUAGGGAAUCUUCCGCAAUGGGCGAAAGCCUGACGGAGCAACGCCGCGUGAGUGAUGAAGGUCUUCGGAUCGUAAAACUCUGUUAUUAGGGAAGAACAAAUGUGUAAGUAACUAUGCACGUCUUGACGGUACCUAAUCAGAAAGCCACGGCUAACUACGUG